rnacentral:rRNA from 1 species
CGCGUUCCCCUUGGGGGGCCGUCCCGCACCUGGCCACCCUUGUCUACCUAACCGCGUUGCUUCGGCGGGCCCGCUUCCCAGGCUCCCUCUUGGGGGCCUCUGGGUCGCCGCCGGGGGCUGGCCUAACCGCCGCCCCGGGCCCGCGCCCGCCGAAGGACCCUGAAACUCUUGCUGAUCAGUGACUGUCUGAGUGAUUAUACAAUCGUUAAAACUUUCAACAACGGAUCUCUUGGUUCCAGCAUCGAUGAAGAACGCAGCGAAAUGCGAUAAGUAAUGUGAAUUGCAGAAUUCCGUGAAUCAUCGAAUCUUUGAACGCACAUUGCGCCCUCUGGUAUUCCGGGGGGCAUGCCUGUCCGAGCGUCAUUGCAACCCUCAAGCCCGGCUUGUGUGAUGGGUCGUCGUCCCCCGUGGACGGGCCCGAAAGGCAGUGGCGGCGUCGCGGUUAUCCGAUCGCCUGGUGUAUGGGGCUCUGUCACGCACCACGGCCUGGACCGGCGCCCGCCGACUCUCAACUACUUUCUUAGGUUGACCUCGGAUCAGGUAGGGAUACCCGCUGAACUUAA